UGCACUUCAUAGCUUUUCCUUUUCUCUGUCUCUUUUUUUCCUCUCGUCCACCACAUUCGCAUCGACUGCGGUAGCAGGCGGGAGAGUCACAAGUGCUGCUGUGUCUGUGAAGGAGACACCACAUACCACAAACAAGAGGUCGAAAGGAAAAACAGAGGACACGAUUUGUACUCGCAAGCACACGGUACGUCCCCGCCAGUGCAGAAGCGCCAAGAUGUCAGCCGGCACCGCCGCCACGGUGGAAUUCACCGCCUCCAGCCAACGCGUGAAGAUGGUGGACAUGCACCCCAAGGAGCCCAUCUUUAUUGCAGCCCUGUAUUCCGGUGGAAUCAACCUGUACAACUACCAGACGCAGGCGCUCGUCCGCUCCUUCGACACAGGCACGGGUCUUCCAGUGCGCUGUGUCCGCUUUAUCCCGCGCCUGCAGAGCUUUGUGUGCGGCUGUGAUGACAUGAACCUGCGUGUGUUCAACUACAACACGAUGGAGCGGACGAAGAUAUUCCAAGCCCACGACGACUACAUCCGCUGCGUCGCUGUUCACGAGCAGCUGCCGCUGGUGCUGACGUGCGCGGAUGACAUGACUAUUCGGCAGUGGGACUGGAGCAAGGGGUGGACGCUGCAGAUGACUUACGAGGGGCACCAGCACUUCUGCAUGGCCGUCGCUUUCAAUCCUAAGGACUCCUCCACGUUUGCCUCCGCCUCGAUGGACUGCACCAUCAAGGUGUGGCGCAUCCACAUUCCGACGCCGAAUUACCAACUCGAGGGCCACGAGGAUGGCGUGAACUGCGUCGAGUUCUACCCUCGCGGUGACAAGCCGUACCUACUGAGCGGAUCCGACGACAGGACGGUGCGUUUGUGGGACUACCAAACCAAAGCCUGCCUACAGGUCUUCUCCUUUCACGAGGACAACGUCGCGAGUGUGCUUUUCCACCCGGACCUCCCAGUGAUCUACUCCAUCUCCGAGUCGGACAGCAUUGCCGCCUUCUCCACGGAGACGUUCCGUCUGCUGUACUCGUGCAACCACUCCGACAUGGGGCGCGGGUGGUCGUUGGCAACGAAGCGCCACUCGAACAUGCUCAUUGCCGGCUUUGACAACGGCGUGCGGGCCUACAAGGUCGGCGCGGACAAGCCCGUCUUCUCCAUGGACACCAACGGUCGCGUCUUGGUCGCGACCGGGAACGAGAUUACGCGCAUGGACAUCAAGGCCAUAGGGCCGGAGACGCCCGACGGCGAGGUGCUGAACGUUGCGACGAAGGACAUGGGCACCGUCGAGGCGACGGCCCGCUCUAUCGUUCACGCCGGAAACGGCCAGUUCAUCUGCGUUCUCGGUGACGACAACUACACCAUCAUAUCGUCCCUCUCGCUGCGUCCCAAGUCGUACGGGCAGUGUGUUUCAUUUGUCUGGGGUCCUGAGAGCGGCGCCUACGCCGUGCUGGAGGGCUCGACGACGCUGAAGGUUUACAAGGGUUUCAAGGUGCGCGUCGCACUUUCGCUGCCAGAGGUGGCCAAUAAGCUGUUUGGCGGGCCUCUGCUAGCGGUGCGCACGAGCAGCAGCGUCAUGUUCUACGACUGGGGCACGCUGGCACUGAUCCGGCAGAUCGAUGAGACCCCGGCAGCGCUCGAGUGGAACUCGACGGGUGAGCUCGUGGCGCUCGUCACGAGCAGCAGUGUCUUCCUUCUCAAGUUCAACGGGGACGCUGUAGCGCAGUACCUCGAGCAAAACACCACCACCGGCGAUGACGGCCUCGACUUCUCGUUCGACCUUGUGGAGGAGCUGGAUGAAAAGGUGCGCGACGUGGCGUGGGUGGGGGACUGCCUUGUCUACAUCAAUCAAGUGCAUCGGCUCAACUACUACAUUGGCGGCGAGGUAAACAACAUCGCGGUGCUGAACCGUCACCAGUACCUCCUCGGCUACCUGCCAAAGGAAAACCGUCUCUUCUGCAUAGACAAGGAAAAGAGCAUCACGAGCUACCUCCUUCAGGUGAAUGCCAUCGAGUACAUGGCUGCCAUCGUGCGCGAGGACUUUGAUGCCGCCAACACACUUCUCCCCACCAUCGAUGUGAGCCUGCGUGACAAACUGUCGCGGUUUGUCGAGUCGCGCGGGCUGCUGCAGAUGGCGCUGGAGAUCGCCAUGGAUGACGAGCGCCGCUUCGACCUGGCGGUCCAGCUGAAGCAACUGUCGUUGGCGCACAAGAUCGCCAGCGCGGCGAACGUCGCGUCGCACUGGAAGCAGGUGGGUGACAUUGCACUGGAGCAGGGCUACUUUGAGAUGGCAAUCGAGUCGCUGGAGAAGUGCAACGACUGGAGCGGGCUGCUGCUCAUCUACACGUCCCUCAACGACAUGGAGGCGAUCUCGCGCCUUGGCGACCGCUGUCUGCAAAGCGGACAGGCCAACUUGGCCUUCACCUGCUACCACCUCACCCAACGCCAUGCCGAGUGUGUGGAGCUGCUGCAGAAGACCGGCAAAACAGGCGACGCCGCUUUCUACGCACGCACCUACUGCCCGAGCCUCAUCGAGGACGCCGUGGCUAAGUGGAGGGUGUCGGUCGCCUCGAUACCUCGCGUCAGCCAAGCGCUCGCCAGCCCGGCAGCCUACCCGAACCUGUUUCCGUCACUGCGCAAUGUGGACUUGCCGCCUCCAAACGGACCGGAGGUUGGCGCCCCUCUGAACGCACAGCCGGCACCUCCCGGUGCAUCCACGUCGCUCCACGGCUCAUGCACCGCACCAACUGUUGCCGACUUGUUCCAGCCGGCGGCAGAGGCACCCCAGCAGCCUAUGCACGCCCCGCCGUUCCCCGACAAUGUGGGCAGCGAGCUCACCGGGAUGCAGGAGCUGGCGGACGAAGAGGAAGCAUGGGGAGAAGAUUAGAAGCGAACAACGUGUCCAAAGGAUUAGUUGGGAGGUGAGAGGGGAAGGUGGUGGGGGGGGGCUCGACACAACGUUGAACUCCGCGAGCACCCUCGUUCCGUGCUGUAUCUUUUCUCACGCUGUUUCGCGGACGCGCUUCAGAGCGCAGGCACCUGCGCGAAGGGGUUUCCCUGCUGCGUGUGUGUGUGUGUAAGGAUGUCACAGCGGUAUCGCCGCCUCUCUUCUCCCCCCUCCCUCUCGUCCGUGAUGCUGGGCGACGGUCCUGCAGUGGUGUGCGUGAGAUUGUCUGCGUGUCUGUCAGUCGUCUCCAGAGUCGCAAUGAUGUUUGCUCAUUCUGUUCCCGUUUACUGUUGCGUAUUGAUCGGACGGGGGUGGCUUCUACCUUUCCUCGUCGCUUGGCACGCGUGAGAGAAUAUUUUCCUCGUAUGGCAGGUGCCUGCGUCGGGGGGGGGUGAAGGGGGAAGAGAGAGGGCGGUGGUUGUGAGUGUAUGUGAGUGCGUGUUGGUUCAGUGUUCUAGUGUAGAAAUGGGCUUUCGUAUCGCGAAACCCCAAAACCGACGUCAGCGGCGCGAGCGACGUUUGUCGCUGAGGAAUGCGAGGCCGUACGUCACGGACGUGAUGGCAAGUUGUGCUGUGGUGCGGGACAAUUCAAGCCAAAGGAUGUCUUGACGAGCGGGGAACGGGAUUGCCUGCGCAUGACGUUCUGUUCGCGGAUGUGCUUGUCGACGAUUGCACAGUUUCUGGCGCCACCUCUGUCUCGAUGUACGUGUUCGCUGUAUGAUUCCAUGGCUUCAUACGCGCAUUCAACUGCUCCGCCUCUCCCGCUGCGUGUCUCCAUUUUUAUUGUAAUCUGAGGUUGCCUAUAUUGGCGCUGUUACCGCGGUCGCCAUGCUGUCUGUUCUAUCGCGUUGGCGUGAGUGUCAUGUUUUUUUCUUUUUUUUCACGGCUGGAG
rnacentral:misc_RNA from 1 species